rnacentral:rRNA from 1 species
UGAGGAAUAUUGGUCAAUGGUCGCAAGACUGAACCAGCCAUGCCGCGUGCAGGAUGAAGGCGCUAUGCGUUGUAAACUGCUUUUCUCAGGGAAUAAACCCUUCUACGUGUAGAGGGCUGAAGGUACCUGAGGAAUAAGGACCGGCUAACUUCGUGCCAGCAGCCGCGGUAAUACGAAGGGUCCAAGCGUUAUCCGGAUUCAUUGGGUUUAAAGGGUGCGCAGGCGGGGCCUUAAGUCAGUGGUGAAAUCUCUUCGCUCAACGAAGAAACUGCCAUUGAUACUGAGGUUCUUGAAUGUAGUUGACGUUAGUGGAAUGUGUCAUGUAGCGGUGAAAUGCAUAGAUAUGACACAGAACACCGAUCGCGAAGGCAGCUAACGAAGCUAUUAUUGACGCUCAGGCACGACAGCAUGGGGAGCAAACAGG